UCUACUGUCUCUACCCGGGGGCCCUUUCCCAAUAAAAUCUUCCUUUGUCAGCACAUGUGUCUCCUCAGAAUCCUCAGACAAUUCAUUUCUGAGUGUUAGACAAGAGUCCAGUUUCAGGCCCUGGAAGGUGCCUGGUUUUCCUACAACAAAACUCUCAAGAGGAGUCUGUUAUGGGGCACUCUACCUUCAAUCACAACCCAGACUGUGAUACAUUAAUGUAACUAGCCUCAGGACCUCCUGGUUCUGCUGCUUUCCCGUGGGCCAGUGGAUAAUGCCUUUCACUGCCAGGUGCUCCUGAGAAAGAUGUGGGUAAGGUGGGGAGACCAGAAAUUGUCUUCUGCUUGGUGAGGAAAAGCAGCAUCCACUGUGGCAAAGAAUGAAACCUUAGUUGGAUUAUUAUUUCCAUCUCUGGUACUGAACACAUGCCUUGUACCAUGUUAAUUUUCAACAUUCAGCUUUGGGAGCAACCCACUAUAGAAUAUCUACAGUUCAAGGUGAAAACUUCUGUGCAGUACUCUCCUUAGAAUUCUACUAAUGAAAAGCUAGAGGAAAGAAGGUUAAAAGAAAUAAAUAUAUGUCAGCAAAAUGUUCAUGGAAUUUAGCAAAACAUAUAUUUUUUUCUCUUUUAGCUUUACUCCACCACUGCAUCAUUUAGAAGUCAGUGUGUAGUUCUCACAUCCAAGGUUAUUGUAA